UACGAAGGGGGCUAGCGUUGCUCGGAAUUACUGGGCGUAAAGGGCGCGUAGGCGGAUAUUUAAGUUGGGGGUGAAAUCCCGGGGCUCAACCUCGGAAUUGCCUUCAAAACUGGAUAUCUUGAGUUCGGGAGAGGUGAGUGGAACUCCGAGUGUAGAGGUGAAAUUCGUAGAUAUUGGGAAGAACACCGGUGGCGAAGGCGGCGACCUGGUCCAUUACUGACGCUGAGGCGCGACAGCGUGGGGAGCAAACAGG
rnacentral:rRNA from 1 species